AGUGAACGCUGGCGGUAGGCCUAACACAUGCAAGUCGAACGGAAGCACAGUAAGAGCUUGCUCUUACGGGUGGCGAGUGGCGGAUGGGUGAGGAAUACAUCGGAAUCUACUUUUUCGUGGGGGAUAACGUAGGGACACUUACGCUAAUACAGCAUACGACCUACGGGUGAAAUCAGGGGAUCUUCGUACCUUGCGCGAUUGAAUGAGCCGAUGUCGGAUUAGCUAGUUGGCGGGGUAAAGGCACACCAAGGCGACGAUACGUAGCUGGUCUGAGAGGAUGAUCAGCCACACUGGAACUGAGACACGGUCCAGACUCCUACGGGAGGCAGCAGUAGGGAAUAUUGGACAAUGGGCGCAAGCCUGAUCCAGCCAUACCGCGUGAGUGAAGAAGGCCUUCGGGUUGUAAAGCCCUUUUGUUAGGAAAGAAAAGCAGCAUGAGAAUACCCCGCUGUUCUGACGGUACCCAAAGAAUAAGCACCGGCUAACUUCGUG
rnacentral:rRNA from 1 species